GGUCUCUAGAGCCAGACAGGAUACGGGCUCUAGAGCCAGACAGUGUGCCGGCUCUAUAAUGUGUCAUCUUGAGCAGUUAUAUACUGUCUCUAUGCUUCAGGUUCCUCAUCUUCAAAAGGGGGAUGGGAUAGUAAUCAUUUCAUAAAGGCUGAGAGUUCAGUAGCACAGGCACAGUGCUUAGAACAGUGUCUGACCACAUGUUAAGCUCUUUAAAAUGUUAAUUAUAGCCAAAGAAUGUACCACAUUUUAUAGGUUUAGGCCUUUGUCUUCAGAUUUAGGAGUAGCAUAUUUAAAUUUCUGAGUUUGAAUUAUGCAGCCUGUGGCUUCCCUCCUUUGGGACAAAUGAUGGAAGUUGUUGUUGAGUAAUUUGUAAUUUGUGUGCUCAAUUUAUAAAAGGAAAAUUGCUGAGACAUCACAUAAUUCCAACUGCAGAAGUUUAGAAACUGUCAUCAGCUUUUUUCCUGUCACUAUUACUUUUUUGACUCUAUCAAUUUGAAGCUAUUCAGUUUUCAUUAUACUAGAUCUGUAACCUUUCAGUUUCUGCAGAGAAUUUUUAAUAUUUUGUAAAAUCAGGAACAAGGUAAAACAGGAUAGUUGAAGACACAUUGUUGAAAAGAAAAAGAUGAACAGAUGUAGCAGGAACCUGAGAUGAGAUCAUUAUGAGAGUAGAAAACAAUCUAACUGAGUUUCUUGGCAAAUGAGUGAGGAGUGUAUUGAGUUGUAGUCUUGUUUGGGUGUAAUAGCAAACAGAUGAUUUUUUUGCCUAGCACUGUCAUUAAGAUACUGAGUGGGUUGAUGAUCCAAUGGGAGUUUAUUUUAUCUGUUAAACAAUUCAAGGGAGAACUUUAAAUCUUAAUUCAGUGAAGGCAUCUUUUAGGGAAUUGAGAUAAUCAGAAAUUUGCUGUCUCACUAUAUUACUAAUACAGGGGGAAAGAAUUUAGUCUUAGAAAGUUUAGAAAGGCCAGGAGCAGUAGCUCAUGCCUGUAAUCUCAGCUUUUUGGGAGGCCAAGGCAGGAUGAUCCCUUGA
rnacentral:lncRNA from 1 species